UACCGCGGUUAUACGAGAGGCUCAAGUUGAUAGACAACGGCGUAAAGAGUGGUUAAUAUACAGUAAUACUAAAGCCGAACACCUCCAAAACUGUUAUACGUACUUGAAGGCAGGAAGAACCCCCACGAAAGUGGCUUUAAAUACAUGACCCCACGAAAGCUAGGGCC
rnacentral:rRNA from 1 species